GGGAGGGUGCAGUAGCAGUGUGUGGGGGGGAGGUUACAGAGACAUGGAGAGGUGUGGGAAUUACAGAGAUAGGAAGGAGUGAAGGUGAGAGAGAGAGAGAGAGUUACAGAGACGGGGUAUAAGGACUGGAGGGGGUUACAGAGAUGGGGGUAUAGGGACUGGAGGGGGUUAUAGAGAUGGGGGUAUAGGGACUGGAGGGGGUUACAGAGAUGGGGGAUAUAGGGACUGGAGUGGUUUACAGAGAGAGGGAGGGGAGUAGGGGCCAGAGGGGGUUUUAGAAAUACGGAGGGUGUAGGUGAGGAAGGUGGGGGUGUUACAGAGGUCUGUGAUGUCAAGAAGGGAAGGGGUUACAGAGAUUGGGAGGGGAGUAGAGGCUGGAGUGGGUUACAGAGAAGGGGAGGGGGUGUUGAAUCAGGAGUGGGUUACAGAGACAGGGAGGAGUGUUGAAUCUAGAGUGGGUUACAGAGACAGGGAGGGGUGUUGUAUCUAGAGUGGGUUACAGAGACAGGGAGGGGUGUUGUAUCUAGAGUGGGUUACAGAGACAGGGAGGGGUGUUGAAUCUAGAGUGGGUUACAGAUACAGGGAAGGGUGUUGUAUCUAGAGUGGGUUACAGAGACAGGGAGGGGUGUUGUAUCUAGAGUGGGUUACAGAGACAGGGAGGGGUGUUGAAUCUAGAGUGGGUUACAGAGACAGGGAGGGGUGUUGAAUCAGGAGUGGGUUACAGAGACAGGGAGGGGUGUUGAAUCUAGAGUGGGUUACAGAGACAGGGAGGGGUGUUGAAUCUAGAGUGGGUUACAGAGACAGGGAGGGGUGUUGAAUCAGGAGUGGGUUACAGAGACAGGGAGGGGUGUUGAAUCUAGAGUGGGUUACAGAGACAGGGAGGGGUGUUGAAUCUAGAGUGGGUUACAGAGACAGGGAGGGGUGUUGAAUCUAGAGUGGGUUACAGAGACAGGGAGGGGUGUUGUAUCUA